GCCUUAGGGCCUGCAUAGGUAGCUGGAAAAAUUGGCUUGGGAAACUGCAGCCAACUUGGCCCCAUAAGGAAUAGUUGCUAGGGAUGUGAGGAUGGCGAGGCUCUUCUGGAUAAGCCAGCAGGGGCUAGCUGCUAGGGGGAGUCCGCAGGCACAGGGGUUUGCUCCACAGACAUACACCUACUCUAUGCUUUCUGGGUAAACAGAUUGCAGACAGCCUGUCUAGCCCAAGCCCUGAGGAGGGUAGAGCUUGAUAGGCUAAGACAAGGGUAUAUUUUAAUUCUGUUCCGUCUUCCCUGCUUUUUGAUGCAGCUUUGUUUUCUUUCAGAUUAUUGGGGUUUUUUUCAAGAAAUGAAUAUUUGCACAGGUAUGUCAGUUGAAUGAAGGACUCUGCAGCAUCUCAGGAAAGAUGUUGAGUGUAGCUGAACUCUCUGGUCUGUCAGAACACUUUGACAUUCUAUCUUAUCUCUCUCCUAUUUGCCUGGGAAAGCUAUCUGGCCCCACAAAGUACUCUGGAGAAAAAGGAAAAUUAUUGGAUGGUUUCUUCCUGGAAGAAUAGAUGGAACAGAAAUUGAUGGAGUCUGGUAUCACUAAUUUAAGGGGAAGUUGGGGCAGAUGUUGACCUGAGAUCUGGAGCACACCUUCCCAGCGGGGGUACCAGGAGAGAAGACCUCCCAUCAUCACUUUUACUCCAGAGGGAUGAGGGGCAGACCUGUACCGUGGUCACAAGCACAGAGCAAGUUUCUGUAGAUGUUCCAGAGCUUCAGAAACACACGCUUGACCUUCAAGAGCUGCUGCAGAUUUGUUCAGUGCUCACACAGUGUGCAGCACAGGCCUGCUGCUAUGCCUCCCGGGUGCUGCUGCAGUACAGCCACCUUUCCUUUUGUUUGGGCACCUUUAUCAGUACAGCUGAAGGGAACACUGUGUGGACUGUGAAUUCCUCUCCAAGAUCAUAUAAAUACUUGGACGGUACAUGCUGUUUCUCUAGUAUUAAUAUAACUAGCUAAAGCUGGUUUGCAUACAUCUGCAGCUACAGCAGAAGUUUAAUGAUAAAUACUCCCAAAUGUAGCUAUGCAAAUAGUGGCAAAUUCUGAAUAAAUGCAUGAAAUGCA